rnacentral:rRNA from 1 species
AGUGAACGCUGGCGGUAGGCCUGACACAUGCAAGUCGAACGGCAGCACAGGAGAGCUUGCUCUCUGGGUGGCGAGUGGCGGACGGGUGAGGAAUACAUCGGAAUCUACUCUGUCGUGGGGGAUAACGUAGGGAAACUUACGCUAAUACCGCAUACGACCUACGGGUGAAAGCAGGGGACCUUCGGGCCUUGCGCGAUUGAAUGAGCCGAUGUCGGAUUAGCUAGUUGGCGGGGUAAAGGCCCACCAAGGCGACGAUCCGUAGCUGGUCUGAUAGGUGGAUGAGACACACUGGAACUGAGACACGGUCCAGACUCCUACGGGAGGCAGCAGUGGGGAAUAUUGGACAAUGGGCGCAAGCCUGAUCCAGCCAUACCGCGUGGGUGAAGAAGGCCUUCGGGUUGUAAAGCCCUUUUGUUGGGAAAGAAAUCCAGCUGGCUAAUACCCGGUUGGGAUGACGGUACCCAAAGAAUAAGCACCGGCUAACUUCGUGCCAGCAGCCGCCGUAA